GACCUGUAAUCAUCAGCUGAACGCUCGGGCUGCAAAGUGCCUGACUGGAAUCUAUCGGUCGCUUCCGGAAAAACACCUGCACGUGCACCUGGUAGCAUCAGGACGUCCUUUAACUCACUGCUGUAGCAAGUGAAUUUCCCCGUCGGGAUCAAUAAAGUUUCAAAGCUU